rnacentral:lncRNA from 1 species
AUGGUGGACCCUAGAGAUAAGAUAUUUCAGGACUACAGCAAGAAGCUGCCAGAGUGCAUGGAGAUGGGCACCAUCUUAAGGAGCUAAGGGAACAAUUCAAAGAAUUUACCAAACCGUAUGAAAAGUCUGAAAAUGAUCUGAAGGCCCUAAAAAGUGUUGGGCAGAUUGUGAGUAACAUGCUUAAACAAUUAACUGAAGAAAAAUUCAUUGUUAAAGCUGCAGAUGGACCAAGAUGUGUUGGGAGUUGUCGUCGACAGCUUCACAAAAGUAGCUGAAGCCAGGAACAAGAGUUGCUUUGGAUAGGGCUACACUAACUAUCAUGAGAUAUUUACCAAGAGAGGUGGAGCCACUGAUUUAUAACAUGUCUCAUGAGGAUCCUGGGAUGUUUCUUAUUCUGAGAUUGGAGGGCUAUCAGAAUAGAUGUGGGAAUUGAGGGGUUACCACUUACAAACCCAGUUAUUCCAACUUGUAGGAAUAAUACCUCCAAAAGGCUGUUUGUUAUGUGGACCACCAUAAACAGGAAAAACACUCUUGGCACACAAGCUAUUGCUGGCCAGCUGGACUGCAAUUUCUUAAAGGUUGUAUCUAGUUCUAUUGUAGACAAGCACAUUGGUGAAAGGGCUCAUUGGAUCAGAGAAAUGUUUAAUUAUGCCAGGGACCAUCCACCAUGCAUCAUUUUUAUGGAUGAAUUAGAUGCUAUUGAUGGUUGUUGGUUUUCCAAGGGUACUUCAGCUGACAGAGAGAUUCAGAGAACUUUAAUGGAGUUACUGAAUCAAAUGGAUGGAUUUGAUACUCUGCGCAGAGUUAAAAUACAACAGACCAAAUACACGGGAUCUUGCUUUGCUGCAUCCAGGAAGAUUAGAUAGAAAAAAAUACAUAUUGAUUUGCCAAAUGAACGAGCAAGAUUAGACACGUUGAAAAUCCAUGCAAGUCCCCUUACAAAGUAUGGUGAAAUUAAUUAUGGAGUAAUUGUGAAGUUUGCAGAUGACUUUAAUGGAGGAGACCUGAGAAAUGCUUGUACUGAAGGAGGUAUGUUUGCAAUUCAUGCUGAUCAUGGUUUUGCAAAGCAGGAAGGCAUCAUGAAAGGUUAGAAAGUGGCUGAUUCUAAGACGCUAGAGCUUAAAUUGAACUAUAAACCUGUGUAA